GAGGGUGGGUAAGGUGGGAGAAGCUCUGGAGCCAACUGACGAUUCCCAGGUACCUAAAUGGCUGUCACUGCAAAACCAAAAGUUUGUUCCUGAGGCCUCAAUAAAGCCUUUAAGCUGAAUCGUUGCCUUGGGUCUUUCGUGAACCCACAUCUACUUCAACUACAGUGUAACGAAAGCAGUCAAGCAAUAAAUGAAACGUUAAAAAAAUACACAAGCAAACUGAAGAACUUCCACAAAGAUCACAGCAACGUCUCAAAGAAAGGGCGUAUCUGCUGAGCAAUAGCCAGAGUGGUAGAGCUGGAUAAGAGGCACCCGCUUUCAAAUUUCAAGUUCAGUGAAGCUCACUAGGUGGUCUUGCCCAAGUCACCACUUCUUAGCCUAGUUCAGGGGUAGCUAAUGUAGUUUUCACCAGAUCUUGCUGGACUACAGCUCCAUUCAUCCUUGACCAGACAGAAGUUGUAGUCAAAGAGCAUCCAAAGGACAUCAUGUUGGCUAUCCCAAGCUAGACUGUCUCACAGAUAGGUUACUAAAAAGGCCAACCAGCAAAACAACCAUAGUACGUUUUGUGCUUUUGUCCCAGUGUGGGCUGCCAGUAUUGCCUUAUAUACCAAUAGUACUCUUACAAUAAAAUAUCCAUCCAUUGCAUUGUUCAUUGGUGCUCUCUGUAUGCUGAACCCUUGAUAAACACUGGUCUUGAUGACUGUUUUGUAUUGCAUCUCAAGGAUGUGGACAAGUGCAGAUAACCUGCCUCCUUGAUGCUUGCCCAUCAUCACUUGUUAGAUCUAACCACAGGAGGCUAU